GGAGGGCGGGGAAACACAAAGACAACUUGGGACAGAUGAGAGAACUCCGGAAAGAAUUGAGAAUGAUCUGCAACAAUUGGAGAGGAUAGAAUUCACUAGAGAAUCACACCGGUUGGAAAGAAUUGAUACGAUGACUCGGGUUGACAAGAAUUGAUAAGACAACUGAUUGAACAAACGAAUUAGCGCUCACAUAAAAAUAUGAGAACACAAAUUAGGAAGGAUCUGAAAUCACCACUUGACAUCGAAGCAACUGAAUUACCAUAUCCAACAAAACAAAGGAUGAAGCUUAUGAAACAAGCCAGAACAAACUCAUGAGAAAGAUUUCCGUUCGAUAUUUUCGUGGACAGGAUCGCACGGGCACGAUUUACAGAAGCCAUCAAGUGCAAGGCAGUGCACCCGACAUACGAAGCGUCCCCGAGUCGUAGCAAGCUACAAGGACUCUUUAAGACACAACGUGUACCGCUGUAAGUCGACCGUGAACAAACAAAUCCACUAGAUGUCGAACCCCAACCUAACAUCAUUCAUUUGUUGGAAGAUUGUCCUAUAAGCAACUACUUGAAUUCCCACCUAUGAAUUCCCGAAAUAUCUGGUCAUGCAAUCUGGUACACGGAUACAAGGAGUAAUAACCACACAACUCCUAUACUAAACCGUCACUUGUAUCACAUCCGUCAACACACGACCAGAAUCUCGGACCUUCAUCUACAACAGACCCUCGUGAUCACAACGAUACAAAGCAUGGCAGUACUCCCGAACAAUCUGCACCAGUACUGGGGACAUCGGGGUUAUCUCGCCACUACCAGUAUUGAAGCAACUACGAACAUCCUUCGUUCUGAGAUACUAAGAAAUCUGAAUGAUAACGAUGUGCUCGAGAAUCCCCUGGAGCUCAACUCCCCGGAAGAAGAUCAAGUCAGACAGGAGGCACCAAGACAGAACUCCGUCACAUCGGCAUCAUAUAGAUUCCAAGAAUAUCCGCGUGAUCCU
rnacentral:lncRNA from 1 species